CUAUACAGGAAGUGCCCUCUCUGACCAUUUCUUGGCCUUCUAUAGCCUCUUUAUCGAAAACAGAGGAUCUCUGCUGUAACGUGACAUUUUCUAAGGCUCCCAUAAGCUCUCAGAAGGCGCCAGAACGGGGAAUGAUGACUCUGCAGUCCCUGGGCGAAAAACAGUAGGGGAUUUGGAUAGUGGUCGAUCUGAGAACAAUGACACGGGCGUGCACGUGAAGACACCAUUUUCUUCUUUCAGUCUUUGAACGAAAACAACGUCUCCCGGUCGGAAUAUUAUCGCUAUUUUACGAGAAAAAUCGCAAAAAAAAUGAUUUUAAACAGCGUUUGACAUGCUUCGAAGUACGGUAAUGGAAUAUUUUGAAUUUUUUUGUCACGAUACGCGUCGGCGCGUCACCCUUCGAAUAGUGUCUUGAACGCAAGAACAAAAUGCCGCUAUUUGGAUAUAACUAUGGAUUAUUUGGAACCAAAACAACAUUGGGUGUAAAGUAGAAGAGUGGGUGUAAAGUAGAAGAGUGCAUUCUGACGAAGAACAGCAAAGGCUAUGUACAAAACCUGCUGGAUUUAUUGUUCAGCAGUGUGGUGGGAACCCCCCUACCAUACCUGGAGCUGUUACAGAAGGCUGAGGCAGUGGCCAGACACCAGAGUAAUGGAGGACACUUCAAUCAGCAACGUUGGCACACCCUGUGGGGUUUUCUUCCUUCUCGUUCUCCCUCAGACGGACAGAUGGAUGGAGUGACGGACUGGGGGAGGUUGUUGACCUGUCUGAUCUGUCUGCCUCGACGUGUUGACCUCAGCAGCCUAU
rnacentral:lncRNA from 1 species